rnacentral:tRNA from 1 species
AUAUUGACAUAAUUUUUAUUUACAUCUUAGAGUUACGUAUCCAAAAAUUGCCGGAAUAGCUCAGUCGGUAGAGCAGAGGACUGAAAAUCCUCGU